CUAAUCUUCCCUGCAGCAUUUAUUCUUCAAUGCUGGACUCAGUCUACCUUCAGUCUAGUUUCCUUCAGCUCCUCACUCCAGUGUUUUUGAUGUGAUUGGGGUCAGAGGGGUAAAUAUGAAGUUCAAGGGAUCAGUACUGGAGAAGGAAACAGUGUUUAACUCCAAGUUCUGGAUUCACGAGGAGAUCACAAAAUGUGGCCUGAGGUCGUAAGGAAUCUGAGAACUAUUCUACACCACCAAGCUGAGUCCAGAAGACUUGGAGUUGAAAUUUUUCAGGCAGAGUGGGACAGACUUGAGAACAAGCUGAAUAUAACAACCAGACUAAGGGACUCUGCUAAUUUAUUCUGGCCUCAUCCCCAAUGGAAAGGCCAACACUUAACA